rnacentral:misc_RNA from 1 species
GAUGAAGAACGCAGCGAAAUGCGAUAAGUAGUGUGAAUUGCAGAAUUCAGUGAAUCAUCGAAUCUUUGAACGCACCUUGCGCUCCUUGGUAUUCCGAGGAGCAUGCCUGUUUGAGUGUCAUUAAUAUAUCAACCUUCUCUUUUUUGAGUUGUUUGGAUGUGGGGGUUUGCUGGCCUCUUAAAUGAUUCAGCUCCCCUGAAAUGCAUUAGCAGAACAACCUGUUCAUUAGCGUGAUAAUUAUCUAUGCUAUUGAAUGUGAGGGCAGUUCAGCUUUCUAACCGUCCUUGGACAAUUCAUCAUUAAUGUGACCUCAAAUCAGGUAGGACUACCCGCUGAACUUAAGCAUAUCAAUAAGCGGAGGA